AUUAGGGUCCCCCAGUAAGAAUGAGAGAUCCAGACCCAGUGACACCAUCAGGGAGAGCUUUGGGGACGGGGGCCCAGAGCUGCAUGAACAGAGCAGUCUUGAAACGCAGCAGGGCUACACAUUGCCAUGAGCGGGGGGGGGGCUGGCUGGCUGAGGGUCCCACUUUUGAGGGAACAUCACCCACAGGGACUCCAAAGGCAAGCCGCCUUGGUGAUGGUCCCCCUUCUGUAAAACAGAUUAUCCCAGAUAUCCAGUUCUCCUCCACCUUAUUGGCUUCUGAGGGGUGAUAAAGUUUUAGUUCUUCAAGGAAGCAUUUGGGGCAUUUGGGAUGCAGAGGAGACACCCUCAUGGUAGGUUGAUGGGACAGUUUAUGUGACUGAUGUUUUUAACUAUGCUUUGGUAUUCUGCCUUGGGGGUGGGGGAGGAGAAAUUCCCCAACUUGCAUCACCACCAUUUUAAUAGAGCACAUGGCUGGCUGGGGAAUUCUGGGUGUUGAAGUCCACACAUCUUAAAGUUGCUGAGGUUGAGAAACACUGUCCUAGUGCUGUGGCAUAAGAGGUCUGCAGUAGUGCGGAAUUUGGAUCACUUCACAUGAACAGUUGCUUCUUCAGAUGUCUGAGGUAAAAAAAUUGUUCCCGGAAACCCUCAAUAGGAACAAUGGCUGCUUGAGAAGACCAACUUGUGCUGUCUCUUUAGAAGUGGCAUGGGGAAUUUUUUUCAUUAUGUGCAAUAGUAAGUGGCCUAGUACUACACGAUGAGCCCAAGAUGGAGAAUCCAUGUUGUAGCAAUACGGUUCUCAUUCCUGUUGGUUACUGGCAAUCUUGUCCUCUAUGAAAGAGGAGAGAGAGGGGACCCUGGAGGAAGAUACAGUAGUUCAGUUUCAGUUAGCUAACAAAAGCGACCCCUUUCCUUCCAUCAUUUGUAUAAAUAAAGACACUGAAUAAUUCUCAGUAUUUGCCAGGCAGAUGCUGUUUCAGAUUGUUUUAUGGGAAAUGCCUGUGCUUUGAAGAUUCAGUUUGGUGGCCUUCUUUGCAAAUCUGACUGACAGGUUUUGCAUUGUUUUUCAGCUCUGCUGGAUCCUUAUUUCCCCCCCACCUUUCAGUUUUAACCUUUGCUGACGUACUGCUUUACGCUCUUCCUCUCUCUUCUCCCUCGUCCACACCCCUUUGAUGGUAGAGCUUUGUUUUAGAAACUGAGUGUCUCUGAUAACUGUUUCUAGUGGUGUGAAUUAUUACUUAAAGUAUCUUAAAAGUUCAUUGAUUAGUACUUCUCUUUGUAAGUCAUAUUAAAAUGCUUGGAAUGUGCAUCAAAAAUCAGGUCAGUUUUAGGGGUGGAAUGGGUUGUUUUCAUGUCUGUGAUAUGGCAUGUUUUGAAAGGGGAUGUAUUUGUUGGAAAUUAUUUCUAACCAAGAGUCCCUGUUGCUCAGGAAUUUGAAAAAAAGCUGCUAAAUCCAACCUAAUAACUGCAUCUUGAGCUAACUGCAUCUCUUAACGUUGUUCUCCUGACACACCUUGUCUUUCGCCUUGAUGUCCUGCUGUCGCUCUUCCUUGUGCUCUGAAACAUCCAAUAGAACUUGUCAUGUCUUCUGCCAGCAUCCAAAUCAUUGGUUGCAUUUUGUAUUUUAUUGUUCAGUUGUGCUGACUGCACUAAUAAAUUGCUUUUUUUCU